AUUGCCUACGGGAGGCAGCAGUCGGGAAUAUUGCACAAUGGAGGAAACUCUGAUGCAGUGACACCGCGUAUAGGAAGAAGGUUUUCGGAUUGUAAACUAUUUUAGACAGGGAAGAAAAAAGACAGUACCUGUAGAAUAAGCUCCGGCUAACUACGUGCCAGCAGCCGCGGUAAUACGUAGGGGGCAAGCGUUAUCCGGAUUUACUGGGUGUAAAGGGAGCGUAGACGGUAUGGCAAGUCUGAAGUGAAAGCCCAGAGCUUAACCCUGGGACUGCUUUGGAAACUGUUAGACUAGAGUGCUG
rnacentral:rRNA from 1 species